GAUAUGUGAAUACAUAGCAUAUCAGAAGGCACACCCGGAGAACUGAAACAUCUUAGUACCCGGAGGAAGAGAAAGAAAAUUCGAUUCCCUUAGUAGCGGCGAGCGAAACGGGAAGAGCCCAAACCAACAAGCUUGCUUGUUGGGGUUGUAGGACACUCUAUACGGAGUUACAAAGGACGACAUUAGACGAAUCAUCUGGAAAGAUGAAUCAAAGAAGGUAAUAAUCCUGUAGUCGAAAAUGUUGUCUCUCUUGAGUGGAUCCUGAGUACGACGGAGCACGUGAAAUUCCGUCGGAAUCUGGGAGGACCAUCUCCUAAGGCUAAAUACUCUCUAGUGACCGAUAGUGAACCAGUACCGUGAGGGAAAGGUGAAAAGCACCCCGGAAGGGGAGUGAAAUAGAACCUGAAACCGUGUGCUUACAAGUAGUCAGAGCCCGUUAAUGGGUGAUGGCGUGCCUUUUGUAGAAUGAACCGGCGAGUUACGAUUUGAUGCAAGGUUAAGCAGUAAAUGUGGAGCCGUAGCGAAAGCGAGUCUGAAUAGGGCGUUUAGUAUUUGGUCGUAGACCCGAAACCAGGUGAUCUACCCUUGGUCAGGUUGAAGUUCAGGUAACACUGAAUGGAGGACCGAACCGACUUACGUUGAAAAGUGAGCGGAUGAACUGAGGGUAGCGGAGAAAUUCCAAUCGAACCUGGAGAUAGCUGGUUCUCUCCGAAAUAGCUUUAGGGCUAGCCUCAAGUGAUGAUUAUUGGAGGUAGAGCACUGUUUGGACGAGGGGCCCCUCUCGGGUUACCGAAUUCAGACAAACUCCGAAUGCCAAUUAAUUUAACUUGGGAGUCAGAACAUGGGUGAUAAGGUCCGUGUUCGAAAGGGAAACAGCCCAGACCACCAGCUAAGGUCCCAAAAUAUAUGUUAAGUGGAAAAGGAUGUGGCGUUGCCCAGACAACUAGGAUGUUGGCUUAGAAGCAGCCAUCAUUUAAAGAGUGCGUAAUAGCUCACUAGUCGAGUGACACUGCGCCGAAAAUGUACCGGGGCUAAACAUAUUACCGAAGCUGUGGAUUGUCCUUUGGACAAUGGUAGGAGAGCGUUCUAAGGGCGUUGAAGCAUGAUCGUAAGGACAUGUGGAGCGCUUAGAAGUGAGAAUGCCGGUGUGAGUAGCGAAAGACGGGUGAGAAUCCCGUCCACCGAUUGACUAAGGUUUCCAGAGGAAGGCUCGUCCGCUCUGGGUUAGUCGGGUCCUAAGCUGAGGCCGACAGGCGUAGGCGAUGGAUAACAGGUUGAUAUUCCUGUACCACCUAUAAUCGUUUUAAUCGAUGGGGGGACGCAGUAGGAUAGGCGAAGCGUGCGAUUGGAUUGCACGUCUAA
rnacentral:rRNA from 1 species